UCUGGUAGAUCCUGCUCUGAGAUCCCUGUCAGCAGCAGGCGAGGCCUGACCCUUUCACAGGGACCUGAUGAGGCCGGGAAGAGCGGGGCCUCUGUGGGGUCAGAGGCUGAUGGUCGCUUAUCUCGCUCUCCCAGGCCAAGCUGGAGGUGCCUGGGCCAGGCAACAGGGGGCUGUCAAAUGCCCUUUUACUUUGCAAGUGGCCAAAGAUUUGACUUGCUCCCCUCUCUGAUAACAGAAGGUCGGAUGCUGCUUGCCAGGGACUUGGGGGAAGGAAGUGGAAGCGGCCGCUCUAUGGAUCUAGAUAAAGCUUCAAGAGAUCGGUUCUAUGACAACACAUUGUUAAAGAUCUACAGUUCUAAACCUGUCACUGUGGAUUCUGUCUCUCUAAUGCCACCAUGUCUUGCCUCGUGUGUUCUAAAGUUUCCUUGUUAGACACAUAUGGAUUGCCAUAAAGUCAAAGCCCACACAGCAUCUGCCAUGUGAGCCGGCAUCAGUCUCCACAUUAUCAUUAACUCUGAGGAAUAUUCUAGACUUCGGAAGCCACAACAUCAGAGACGUCUUGGAACGAUGCCAGGUCACCCUAGACAAGAACAAGAGACAGCACAGGCCUGGAGGAGAGCCCAAGUCUGUGACGCUGAGGCUUAUGGGAGAGGAUUCCUGCUCUGCUGGGAGAUCGAAGGAAAUAACUUCACCUCCUUUUUUGGCCUUGAUCUCACUAGAUAGCUCCCCAAAUCCUUUCCAUGUUUGGUAGCACAGUUGGCGAGAGUUUACACCAUUCUAAAAUAAAACUUAUUAAACACGCUAAAGUUACAUAAUAACAAUAAACAUUAA